UGUCUGCUGAUAUAAAGCAAACUGAAUUCUAUUUCUACGCAUGAAAAAUCCUAUUUUAUGUAUCACAGCCCAAGGUGAGUAAAUUUAGCAUCAACUAAUCUACUCGCCACAAUUUCCCCAUUUCUUAUCGUAUUGUUUACAGUCGUAAAUAACCCUUAUCUGGGUGUGCUUCAAUAAAACCUUUGCGGAAAGGUCUCUCGUGCAUUUGCUUUCAUUCUUCCGUCUACAUCACGAUGUGAAUGAACAUAUAUUGUAAGUGGAAGGUGGACACCACUUAGACCGGGUGUGUAUCCACUCACUCACUCAGAAUCCAUUCAGUCGCUCCCACGAUGGGUGGUGGUACGAUGGUUUUUGGGGAGGAGAAUCCGUGGAUUCUCGACAUCCUCCUCCUCCUCAUCCCACGAAAAGCAAUUUCUUGACGAUGCCCGAAGGAUCGGGGGGUUAAGAGGGAACGUAAGUACGGGCGCAAAAAAAAUCGUUCAUUCGGCAAAAAUCUAUUUUCGUGCGUCCUUUUCUUCGCAUCAACAGCUGGGGACCAGAGGAGCACACGGCGUAUAAUUCAUCUCUUCCGUUCCUUCCUAACGUCAUCAUCGUUUUUCGACCCGGCGGGUGGGUGGAAUGUAAGGAAGGAGGAACCACCCCCCAAAAGGGGUGCAAAAAUGGACAAGACGGCAGGCCGCGUGUAAGUGAUGCGUGCUUGGUGCGCAUCAUCACACCUCGGUCAGGCGCUGGUCAUCAUUUAUCAACCAUCUCUUGACCCAGGGGGUGGUGCGGUCAGUGUGUUCCGCCCUGCCAACAUCGACCCAGUGCCUAAGCUAGUACGCCGAAGGUAGCAUCGAAAAUGGGGUGGUGAUGUUCGUGUGUUCAGAACUUACUUUGCAGCGAGGAGUUUAGUUAGGAGUUUUCCGCUAAAUUAAACCAACUCCGCGGGAGUUGUCCAGUGCAGGUCAAUGGGGUUCUAUACAAUAUUCUAAAUAUUUCAGGAGGAUUCUACAAUCUAGAUAACACCGCUGUGCAUGGCGAAGUUCACAUUUUUACUUGAAUCGUUUCACAAAAAGAGGGCCCAUUCUUUAAUGUAUAUAAUCUAUCGACAUAAGAAUAUAAAGUGUUUACUUCAUAUCAAUAAGCUUUGACAUCUUCAAUAGAAUAAAAAAUGGGGGUAUUUACUGAACGACAA